UACGAAGGGGGCGAGCGUUGUUCGGAAUUACUGGGCGUAAAGGGCGCGCAGGCGGCGCGAGAAGUCAGGCGUGAAAGCCCCGGGUCAACCUGGGAAUUGCGCUUGAUACUCUUGUGCUGGAGUUCGGGAGAGGAGAGUGGAAUUCCCAGUGUAGAGGUGAAAUUCGUAGAUAUUGGGAAGAACACCGGUGGCGAAGGCGGGGUCACUGGGCAGUAACUGACGCUGAG
rnacentral:rRNA from 1 species